AAGGGAUUUCACAAACUGAACCAGAAGUGGCAUUGAAGUUGAAAAUGAUUGAAGGUCUGCCCUGAAUGUGUGCCUUUAUCUGAUCACAUCUGGCAAAGCCUGUAAAAUAAGAGCAAGGAGAAAAGAGUCUUCAGAAAGUCCCUUUCAGAAAGCUUGUGAUGAGAUGAUGUGAGGGAUGGGGCAGUCUUACACUGGAAGCAAGAUAAUUGAUUUGAGUUUGUUCUGCCACUGCAGCUGGUUACAACAAGCAGCCUGCCCUCUGCAAGAGCAGAGCAAGAGCAGAGCAGGUCUGAGCACUUCUGCUGGGGUGAAGUUCUCUGGCUUUCAGUGUUUGCACAGUGAAUUCAAUGUCAACAUACACACAGACAGCAGAUCUCAGAGGAGUCAGAGGAAAGAAAGCUCCAGUGAUUUUUUUAUUGUUGAAACAAGCACUGCUUCUAACUCUGCUGGAAUGCAGCUGCACACUGUGUACUGGAAGCCUGGAUGCCAGGGAAGUGUUAAUCCCUGCAGUCGAGGAAUACCAGGCACAUUCCCAGAAGAGUAA
rnacentral:lncRNA from 1 species